UAACAGUUUGAGUAUCGCCGCCUACUGUACAGGAGGACGUAACAUCAUUCGUCUAAUAACCAGACCACCAAGUGAGAAGGACCUUUGUGUGGUUCAGAAGACUCUUCGCCUGAACCAACUGAUGUCCUGUCACAUCAGAUCUUCGUUGCCCAUCAAUAGAGAGCUGUGCUGCAACAUGCAGAACAUGGGUCUGGAUGAGAAGUUUCCCAGCCACACCCCAAUUCUCCUGGAAUUCAAGGAAUAUCUUGUGAAGCAGCGUGGGACCCAGACGUGAUGCCAAGAGGUGGAUGAUGUCUCCAGGAUGCUGAGGUACAUGCAGCCCACCCGGGAUGACGUCAGCGUGGACUUUCUCAGGCAAAGCACCAAAACCAGAGACCACAUGGUGACCUUACAGAGGGUCAAACUGCUUCCCCCCACCUUCCUCAACUACAUUAAGAGUAGAUCAGAUUUGUUUGGUUUCUCACGCGGAGCAAUCUGGACCAGCAGCUACGAACAUCCUCCUGAGGCUAUCCUAAGAAGCUAACACGCCAUCCAGCUUGACAGAUUACAGGCUGGGUUUGCUGAAGGCACUCGCUUCUAUGACAAGUGGAGGGCAGUACCGUCUAGUACCGGGAGGAGAACCUGCUGUAUAAGCUGAUAUUAAAGACCUAAUGACAGCGACAGAUUCAUGGAGACAGACAUUUAAACUGACAUCCGUAUUAAUCGACAGCAAAAACAGACCAUCCUCCAAAUGUAGCCAUGGUAACAGAGAUGAUUGACAGGGAGGCCUGGAAUGCCAAUCACCCGCAUCCAGAGGACAUCGUCGCAAAGUGGAGUCCAGCUAAAAGCAUUGAGACGGAUGAGUCUGGUGUGGCUGUUCAGGAGUACGGGGACGAUGGAGGACAAGAUCCUUUACAAAGAGAUCAGUCAUCUGUAAUUAUCCUGGUGAGCUGAUCACUGCAGAUGGGGGCCUACGACAGCAGGCAUCUGUGCAUCAAUGUAAGGGUGCGACCCCUCGUUGGAGACAGCGGGCAGAAAAAUGAACCACACCAGGAAGAAUAACAACGUUAGGUUGCUCCCCAUCAGAAGGAAGUUUAAUGAAGGAGAAAAGGACUCUUUCCUUCUGGUGGCAGCAAGACACAUCGACGUCGAUGUCAGGCAUCGAGACCUAGUGGUCAAUGGAAAGACUCCAUUUGGUCCCGUGUCCUAAUUGUGAAGGAUUUAUAUUGUAUUUCUUUUAAAUCUCAUUUUAAAAGUGUUUCUUUUUAUUUAAACACGACAGAGCUCAUUCAUUUGCUCCUUCAUAUCUGAAUUAUCCAACAUCAUCUCUGCAGUUACUUGAAUUUAUGUUUUUAUACUUUCAGUUUUUCACACUCAAAUAUAGAAUUUCUCCCUUUUACCUUUUAAACUGUCUCUAAUCAUUCCUUUACCUUUAAUGAUAUGAUCUUCACACAACAACAACAGUUUUUUUUCUCUUUUUUUUAUUUGGUUCCAAGUAAUUUAAUUUAUAUUUACAAAACAGCUGCAGUUUGUCGGUUCGGGGGACGAGGGCACGUCUCUGUGAAUCUGUGUGAGGCAGCAUUCAGUAGAAUAUCUGACAAAACUAUGAAGUAGUAUGAGCAGUGUGACAACAGAGUCCUUCACCCAGUACCUCUGUAGCGUCUCAGUAAUAAACACAUUGUAGAGGUACUUCAUUUCAGAGCUUUGUUAACAUGGACUCAAAUCAUGAGCAAUAAUUGUCCUACAUACAUGCAAUCUGAAGAUGUACAACAGAACAUGAUUACCUCACCUAUGCGUUCCUCCAAACCAAUAUCACACUGCAUAAAAAGAGCUACUAGAGCCAAACAGAUGCGCUCAUAACAAGAAGUGUGAAACCAAGACAAACUCAAGUCUUUCAUUAUGUUGAAGACUUGGUACACAGUAUGGUGGGAUGUAAACGUUGAUGGACAGAGCUCAAAGCUAGUGUGUGUCUGGUUGGCAUAAACCUGAAUGUACCAAUAACAUAACACAAAAAAAAGUUCAGACAGGAAAAGAAAACACUUCUGUUAAUAAAAGCCAUGUGGGUAAAUGUGAACCUGUUGGAGGCAGAAUGAGGC